rnacentral:misc_RNA from 1 species
AAGUCGUAACAAGGUAACCGUAGGUGAACCUGCGGUUGGAUCAUUAAGAAAUUAUUGGUUUCAUACACACAUGUGGUAUCUAAAGUGUUUUUGCGGUGGUUCCUCACGGGGAACGCCGCAACCUCUUAUAUAAACAUUGUUGAACAUUGGAGAAACAUUUAUACAAAAUAUAAAAAACUUUUGACAACGGAUCUCUUGGCUCUC